UACGUAGGGUGCGAGCGUUGUCCGGAAUUACUGGGCGUAAAGAGCUCGUAGGUGGUUUGUCGCGUUGUCCGUGAAAACUCACAACUCAAUUGUGGGCGUGCGGGCGAUACGGGCAGACUGGAGUACUGCAGGGGAGACUGGAAUUCCUGGUGUAGCGGUGGAAUGCGCAGAUAUCAGGAGGAACACCGGUGGCGAAGGCAGGUCUCUGGGCCAUAACUGACGCUGAGAAGUGAAAGCAUGGGGAGCGAACAGG
rnacentral:rRNA from 1 species